rnacentral:rRNA from 2 species
CUAGAUCCUCUUCGAUGGUGCCGCUUGUGGAACGAGCGGCGGACGGGUGAGUAACACGUGGGCAACCUGCCUGUAAGACUGGGAUAACCCCGGGAAACCGGGGCUAAUACCGGAUAAUACUUUUCAUCACCUGAUGGAAAGUUGAAAGGUGGCUUCUUGCUACCACUUACAGAUGGGCCCGCGGCGCAUUAGCUAGUUGGUGAGGUAACGGCUCACCAAGGCAACGAUGCGUAGCCGACCUGAGAGGGUGAUCGGCCACACUGGGACUGAGACACGGCCCAGACUCCUACGGGAGGCAGCAGUAGGGAAUCUUCCGCAAUGGACGAAAGUCUGACGGAGCAACGCCGCGUGAGUGAUGAAGGUUUUCGGAUCGUAAAGCUCUGUUGUUAGGGAAGAACAAGUGCCGUUCGAAUAGGGCGGCACCUUGACGGUACCUAACCAGAAAGCCCCGGCUAACUACGUGCC